AGAGUUUGAUCCUGGCUCAGGACGAACGCUGGCGGCGUGCCUAACACAUGCAAGUCGAGCGAUGAAGCCCUUCGGGGCGGAUUAGCGGCGGACGGGUGAGUAACACGUGGGUAACCUACCUCAAAGAGGGGGAUAGCCUCCCGAAAGGGAGAUUAAUACUGCAUAACAUUAGUUUUUCGCAUGAAGAACUAAUUAAAGGAGUAAUCCGCUUUGAGAUGGACCCGCGGCGCAUUAGCUAGUUGGUGAGGUAAUAGCUCACCAAGGCGACGAUGCGUAGCCGACCUGAGAGGGUGAUCGGCCACAUUGGAACUGAGAUACGGUCCAGACUCCUACGGGAGGCAGCAGUGGGGAAUAUUGCACGAAUGGGCGAAAGCCUGAUGCAGCAACGCCGCGUGAGUGAUGAAAGGCCUUCGGGUUGUAAAAAGCUUCUGUCUUUGGGGACGAUAAAUGACGGACCCAAGGAGAAG
rnacentral:rRNA from 1 species